rnacentral:rRNA from 1 species
CCUACGGGUGGCAGCAGUCGAGAAUCAUUCACAAUGGGGGAAACCCUGAUGGUGCGACGCCGCGUGGGGGAAUGAAGGUCUUCGGAUUGUAAACCCCUGUCAUGUGGGAGCAAAUUAAAAAGAUAGUACCACAAGAGGAAGAGACGGCUAACUCUGUGCCAGCAGCCGCGGUAAUACAGAGGUCGCAAGCGUUGUUCGGAAGCACUGGGCGGAAAGCGUUCGUAGGCUGUUUCGUAAGUCGUGUGUGAAAGGCGCGGGCUCAACCCGCGGACGGCACAUGAUACUGCGAGACUAGAGUAAUGGAGGGGGAACCGGAAUUCUCGGUGUAGCAGUGAAAUGCGUAGAUAUCGAGAGGAACACUCGUGGCGAAGGCGGGUUCCUGGACAUUAACUGACGCUGAGGCACGAAGGCCAGGGGAGCGAAAGGGAUUAGAUACCCCUGUAGUC